rnacentral:rRNA from 1 species
GAUUGAACGCUGGCGGCAGGCCUAACACAUGCAAGUCGAACGGUAACAGGAAGCAGCUUGCUGCUUYGCUGACGAGUGGCGGACGGGUGAGUAAUGUCUGGGAAACUGCCUGAUGGAGGGGGAUAACUACUGGAAACGGUGGCUAAUACCGCAUAACGUCGCAAGACCAAAGAGGGGGACCUUCGGGCCUCUUGCCAUCAGAUGUGCCCAGAUGGGAUUAGCUWGUUGGUGAGGUAACGGCUCACCAAGGCGACGAUCCCUAGCUGGUCUGAGAGGAUGACCAGCCACACUGGAACUGAGACACGGUCCAGACUCCUACGGGAGGCAGCAGUGGGGAAUAUUGCACAAUGGGCGCAAGCCUGAUGCAGCCAUGCCGCGUGUAUGAAGAAGGCCUUCGGGUUGUAAAGUACUUUCAGCGGGGAGGAAGGUGUUGKGGUUAAUAACCGCAGCAAUUGACGUUACCCGCAGAAGAAGCACCGGCUAACUCCG